CCUACGGGAGGCAGCAGUGGGGAAUAUUGCACAAUGGGGGAAACCCUGAUGCAGCGACGCCGCGUGAGUGAAGAAGUAUUUCGGUAUGUAAAGCCCUAUUAGCAGGAACGAGACAAGACGGUACCUGACUAAGAAGCCCCGGCUAACAACGUGCCAGCAGCCGCGGUAAUACGUAGGGGGCACGCGUUAUCCGGAAUCACUGGGGGUAAAGGGAGCGUAGACGGCUGAGCAAGCCUGAAGGGAAAGGCGGGGGCCCAACCCCUGGACUGCUUUGGGAACUGUCCGGCUUGAGUGCAGGAGAGGUAAGUGGAAUUCCUGGUGUAGCGGUGAAAUGCAUAGAUAUUAGGCGGAACCCCAGUGGCGAAGGCGGCUUACUGGACUGUAACUGACGUUGAGGCUCGAAAGCGUGGGGAGCAAACAGGAUUAGAUACCCUGGUAGUC
rnacentral:rRNA from 1 species